CUUUAGUUUAGUAUCCAGUUAUAACACAUGACUUUAGUUUAGUAUCCAGUUAUAACACAUGACUUUAGUUUAGUAUCCAGUUAUAACACAUGAAUUGAGUUUAGUAUCCAGUUAUAACACAUGACUUUAGUUUAGUAUCCAGUUAUAACACAUGACUUUAGUUUAGUAUCCAGUUAUAACACAUGACUUUAGUUUAGUAUCCAGUUAUAACACAUGACUUGAGUUUAGUAUCCAGUUAUAACACAUGACUUGAGUUUAGUAUCCAGUUAUAACACAUGACUUUAGUUUAGUAUCCAGUUAUUACACAUGACUUUAGUUUAGUAUCCAGUUAUAACACAUGACUUUAGUUUAGUAUCCAGUUAUUACACAUGAAUUGAGUUUAGCAACAAAAGCACAUGUAUAGAACAUGUAUGGACAUGUGUUUCAGGGACUUCAGGAGAACAACACAACAGACAACAGACAACGGUUCUGCAGGUAGUGGAGAACAACACAACAGACAACACAGACAACGGUUCUGUAGGUAGUGGAGAACAACACAACAGACAACACAGACGGUUCUGCAGGUAGUGGAGAACAACACAACAGACAACACAGACAACGGUUCUGUAGGUAGUGGAGAACAACACAACAGACAACACAGACGGUUCUGCAGGUAGUGGAGAACAACACAACAGACAACACAGACAACGGUUCUGUAGGUAGUGGAGAACAACACAACAGACAACAGACAACGGUUCUGCAGGUAGUGGAGAACAACACAACAGACAACACAGACAACGGUUCUGCAGGUAGUGGAGAACAACACAACAGACAACAGACAACGGUUCUGCAGGUAGUGGAGAACAACACAACAGACAACAGACAACGGUUCUGCAGGUAGUGGAGAACAACACAACAGACAACACAGACAACGGUUCUGUAGGUAGUGGAGAACAACACAACAGACAACACAGACAACGGUUCUGUAGGUAGUGGAGAACAACACAACAGACAACACAGACAACGGUUCUGCAGGUACGACAUAUGAGUAGACAGUUUAAUAGAUCCUGUAUAUGCAAGCAUCAUAGCAUACCAGUGAUGAUACGGAAGGCAGUGGCAGGAAGAUCAGGUUAGAAACCUGCCCAGAUAAAUGGACUGAUUUGGUGUUCCUGUCUCCACUUGUCUCUUUAGUCUCUGCUAUUCCGAAAUGUCUGCAUGCUUUUCCAGCACUUUUUCAUGUCAACAUAGUUUAACACCAGAUUGCUGACUAACACCAAAAUGGUUAGUAUGGACAUAUUAGUCCUUGUGUGUAUCCUGUGGUCUGGGAAUUGGAGGGGUUAACACUUCCUGCCAAGCCACAUAUUUAAACUCUAUUCUUCAGUAGGUGCUACUCGAGAGCGGCGAGACUCAGAGCAAACAACUAGUAUUGUAAAGGGAUAAUCCCUAUGGAACACCUGCCAACAUCAUCUGUGUGCUUACAGUUGCUCAUAUUCCCUCUUUUUCUAAACGUGUUGGGAGAAUGACUCUUCAGUCACCGAUAUGUCACCGAUAUGACAUCACACUCUCCCUGGCGGCAGGGUAGCCUAGUGGUUAGAGCGUUGGACUAGUAACCGGAAGGUGGGUUCUGAUAUGCUAAAGAGAAGACCUGGCAACAUUCUCUAGUGGUUCUGAUAUGCUAAAGAGAACACCUGGCAACAUUCUCUAGUGGUUCUGAUAUGCUAAAGAGAACACCUGGCAACAUUCUCUAGUGGUUCUGAUAUGCUAAAGAGAACACC
ensembl:lncRNA